rnacentral:misc_RNA from 1 species
GUAGGUGAACCUGCGGAAGGAUCAUUAUCGAGUUUUUGAACGGGUUGUAGCUGACCUCUCACGAGGUACGUGCACACCUGGCUCAUUCCACUCUCAACCCCUGUGCACUUCUCGUAGGAGGAUUAAUUGUCAGACGGAGAGCUGAUUGCAAAGUCGGUUUACAAGUCUUUCGAUAUCCUUUCCUAUGUUUUUACUACAAACGCUUCAGUUACAGAAUGUCUUACUUUGCGUACAACGCAUUUUAAAUAUAUACAACUUUCAACAACGGAUCUCUUGGCUCUC